AAAGAAAGGAGAAUAUCUUCUAAUCACGGGUGGAUAAAGAUUUUUUUUGCAGAUACCUUCCUUUUCUGCCUCUUACUCCCAAACAAUUAAAUGCCAGUUUUGGAACUCAUUAAUCUGUAGGCAACCUGGCGAGAUCUAAUUUAUACCUGUCAGGAGCAAUGGGCAGCAGCUAAUAGGAAAAUAAUUGCAAUGUACUUGUCACGUUGGCUUAGACCAUUGAAUUAGGCCAAGAGAUGAAGAUCUUUGCAAUGCUGCAGAGCUCAGUUUAAUGUUAUGAUGGCUUUCCCUCAUAUUAAAUCUCACUUCAAACAUUUGCCAUUCUAAGUGGAAGAAGUGAGAGAAUCCAGAAGUCAGAGAAUAUCUCUAAGAAGGUGGAGAGUCUUCUAUAAAUACGAGGUUUGUUGUUUCUACUGUGAGUGGUAGAAGCAUCAGUAACAGGCAAUGCUUGAGCAGCAUUGCACAAGCACUCAGGUCUGAGGAGACGUACAAAAAGGGUUAUGAGCUAUGUAUAGAAAAGGAGCGGAUUAAAAAAGACAAAUAAAACGCUCUGAGGAGUGAAUAGAAAAGUGAAAAGUAAAAUACCAAUGUAACAAAAAUGAGGAUAGA